ensembl:lincRNA Gm17491 predicted gene, 17491
GGCCAAAGGAAGAUGUCAUAUAUCCUGCCCUGUCACUGCCUGACUUAUUUCCUGGAGACAGGGGCUCUCACUGAGCCUGGAGCUGUGUUGGUGACUAGCAAGCCCCAGUGAUCCCACAGAACAGGGACUUUUAUGUUGGUAUUGGGGAUCAUAACUCACGUUUGUGUAGCAAUUGCUUGUGCUGUGUAACUCUGAGCCACCUCUCCAGCUUAGGAAUAUUAUUUUAUAAUUUGAAAGAUCUAAAAAUGCAUUUUCUUUUGUAGUUAUAGAAGGUGCCCUUGGCUAGAGUGGAGGAGUGGCUAGGGAGAUGACUCAGUUGGUUAAAGCACUUGCUGCUCUGGCAGAAGACCUGAGUUUGGUUCUCAGCACCUGCUUGGCAGCUUAUAACCGUCCACAGUAUCUCCAGUUCCAGGAGAUCUGAGGUCCUCUUCUGCUCUCCAUGACCAUGCAUGCAUGUGGUGUACAUUCACACGUGCAUGUAAACAACCAUGUGCAUAAAAGAAAGAGAGGAAAAAACAGAUGCUCCGUUUAUUAUUUAUUUAUUUAAUCGUGGUGCUAGUGGUCAGAGCCUCGUGCAUGCCAAAUGAAUGGCCUGGCACAUGUCCAUCCCAACCCUAAGGAUGCUCCUUUUAAAGCUUCAGAGUGGGACUAGCAGGAUGGCCCAGUAGGUAAAUAAAUGGUGGUUAUCACCAAGCCUGUUGACCGACCCAAGUUCCAUUUCUAGGACUCAUGGUGGAAAGAGAGAGCCAGCUCCCAGAAGUUAUCUACUGACCUAUACACAGACAAGAAAAAAAAAUUUUUUUUAAAUCCUUAAAAAGUUCAGGGUAGCAAGAACAAAGUACAGUGACUGUGCUACACUUGUGAGUUUUCCAGGGAGAAGAGGGUGGUUCUGAAAUGGUCAAAGACCAUUGCAGAGACGGAAGAGGAGGGUGGAGAAACUGAAUUUUGACUCACAGCCGAGUAAAGUUUUGGUGCUGGCUGUUGGAUUCUCGGAUAAUGAUUUACCAGGACAGGGACUUGUUAGGUCUUGCUUCGGGUGUUAGAACACUUUUGCCAAAUUAGACAGUGCUGAGCGGCACAUGACAGUUUGCUGGCUACUUUUCAUAAGCACUUACUAGAUCUAAAGCAUUGUGGGAAUCUACAGUGGUGUGGGUAUUACUGAUGUGCGUUACCCUUGGGUUAUCGUCCCUCUGGUGGAACGCUGAUCCCACGUUGUCAAUCUGCGUUGAGCAAUAGAUAAUGCUCCGCUAGAAAAGGUCAGGCGUCCUCUUCUGACCAAAUGCUCAUUCUUUCCUUUCCUUUCCUUUCCUUUUCCCUUUUCCCUUUUCUCUUCUUUUCCUUCCCCCUUCCUUCCUUCCUUCCUUCCUUCCUUCCUUCCUUCCUUCCUUCCUUCCUUCCUUCCUUCCUUCCUUCCUUUCAAUGGUGGACCAAGAUGUACAAUUGUAUGUUGAUCUGGUAGAGACCUGGAAUAGAGUCAGACGUGUGGGUUAAAUGAGGAACUAACUAACUAAUCCAGCAAGGUAAAGAAGAAUCGUAUUCUCCCAAGGCCUAGACACUUUUCCUAUCUGUCAGCACUUGGUGGUAUUUCGGGAGCACCGGACAUCAACAUCUUUGAAUGUUAGUUACAGCACAGAUAGGGGACUGUACAUCCCCUGACAGUUCUCUAGGAACCAUGAAGACAUCCCUUUAAAUGAAGCAUGGGCCACCAACCUGCUCAGCAGCCAGGGUGCACGUGCCCUAUGAAGGAACCUUAACUUGAAAGCAGCGUGAUUGGCUUCCAUAUCAUCUUUGAAUAUAAAUUGAUAUUCCUAGUUUCAGCGUGUCCUCAUAGAGACCAACAGACCAGGUUUAUUCUUUCAGGAAAUUUUUCAACACCGGAAGUUGUGUGUUAUCUGCACAUGGACUGGAUUGCCCACUGACUCAUACAAACAUCGGAAAAAAGGACUGAAGAAAGGCGGGUUUCAGGAAGCAACUCCAGCCCACUUACGGCUUUUGAGCAGCUUGAAAGAAGAUAAUUCUAGAAAUGAGUGACGAGAUCCUAGUCAUUUCUACAUUUGUCUGUAGACAUUCAUCGUCUUUAUUAACCCGUCUGCUUGGGGAAUGGUAUUUGAGCUAUUGUCCAUCACUGUAGCAGCUAGUAAUCUACUUGUGGUCAGAGUUUUUACCUGUGGGUACAGAAAUCACAUCAGUAGUAGAUGGAAGAGAAACCACUCAUCAAGACAGUGAUGUCCCACACACCCGCAGAAAUUGACUUUCAUUAAACAAUCACUAAAAGAGUGUGGUACCCACC